UGGGGAGGGGGAGAUGAUCUUAUUAAUACUCUGAACUGUGAUCCGAUGAGAUAUGACUUUUAUUAUGUGCGAAUGAAGAUAAAACGAGAAAAAGAAACUUAUCGUGAAUUGGUGAUCUUCAAGAACAAUCAACAUGUUUUGCAUCCUUCCGAAAAUAGUAAACUCGUUUUAAAAUAUGGGACUUACAUGAUCAAGCCACU
rnacentral:lncRNA from 1 species